rnacentral:rRNA from 1 species
GUAAGGUGAUAUGAACCGUUAUAACCGGCGAUUUCCGAAUGGGGAAACCCAGUGUGAUUCGUCACACUAUCAUUAACUGAAUCCAUAGGUUAAUGAGGCGAACCGGGGGAACUGAAACAUCUAAGUACCCCGAGGAAAAGAAAUCAACCGAGAUUCCCCCAGUAGCGGCGAGCGAACGGGGAGGAGCCCAGAGCCUGAAUCAGUGUGUGUGUUAGUGGAAGCGUCUGGAAAGGCGCGCGAUACAGGGUGACAGCCCCGUACACAAAAAUGCACAUGCUGUGAGCUCGAUGAGUAGGGCGGGACACGUGGUAUCCUGUCUGAAUAUGGGGGGACCAUCCUCCAAGGCUAAAUACUCCUGACUGACCGAUAGUGAACCAGUACCGUGAGGGAAAGGCGAAAAGAACCCCGGCGAGGGGAGUGAAAAAGAACCUGAAACCGUGUACGUACAAGCAGUGGGAGCCUCUUUAUGGGGUGACUGCGUACCUUUUGUAUAAUGGGUCAGCGACUUAUAUUCUGUAGCAAGGUUAACCGAAUAGGGGAGCCGAAGGGAAACCGAGUCUUAACUGGGCGUUAAGUUGCAGGGUAUAGACCCGAAACCCGGUGAUCUAGCCAUGGGCAGGUUGAAGGUUGGGUAACACUAACUGGAGGACCGAACCGACUAAUGUUGAAAAAUUAGCGGAUGACUUGUGGCUGGGGGUGAAAGGCCAAUCAAACCGGGAGAUAGCUGGUUCUCCCCGAAAGCUAUUUAGGUAGCGCCUCGUGAAUUCAUCUCCGGGGGUAGAGCACUGUUUCGGCAAGGGGGUCAUCCCGACUUACCAACCCGAUGCAAACUGCGAAUACCGGAGAAUGUUAUCACGGGAGACACACGGCGGGUGCUAACGUCCGUCGUGAAGAGGGAAACAACCCAGACCGCCAGCUAAGGUCCCAAAGUCAUGGUUAAGUGGGAAACGAUGUGGGAAGGCCCAGACAGCCAGGAUGUUGGCUUAGAAGCAGCCAUCAUUUAAAGAAAGCGUAAUAGCUCACUGGUCGAGUCGGCCUGCGCGGAAGAUGUAACGGGGCUAAACCAUGCACCGAAGCUGCGGCAGCGACACUAUGUGUUGUUGGGUAGGGGAGCGUUCUGUAAGCCUGCGAAGGUGUACUGUGAGGUAUGCUGGAGGUAUCAGAAGUGCGAAUGCUGACAUAAGUAACGAUAAAGCGGGUGAAAAGCCCGCUCGCCGGAAGACCAAGGGUUCCUGUCCAACGUUAAUCGGGGCAGGGUGAGUCGACCCCUAAGGCGAGGCCGAAAGGCGUAGUCGAUGGGAAACAGGUUAAUAUUCCUGUACUUGGUGUUACUGCGAAGGGGGGACGGAGAAGGCUAUGUUGGCCGGGCGACGGUUGUCCCGGUUUAAGCGUGUAGGCUGGUUUUCCAGGCAAAUCCGGAAAAUCAAGGCUG